rnacentral:rRNA from 1 species
AUUGAACGCUGGCGGCAGGCCUAACACAUGCAAGUCGAACGAGUGGCGGACGGGUGAGUAAUGUCUGGGAAACUGCCUGAUGGAGGGGGAUAACUACUGGAAACGGUAGCUAAUACCGCAUACCCUCGGAUGUGCCCAGAUGGGAUUAGCUAGUGGGUGGGGUAACGGCUCACCUAGGCGACGAUCCCUAGCUGGUCUGAGAGGAUGACCAGCCACACUGGAACUGAGACAAGGGCCAGACGCCUACGGGAGGCAGGAGUGGGGAAUAGUGCAAAAUGGGCGCAAGCCUGAUGCAGCCAUGCCGGGUGUAAGAAGAAGGCCUUCGGGUUGUAAAGUACUUUCAGCGGGGAGGCGUUACCCGAAGAAGAAGCACCGGCUAACUCCGUGCCAGCCGCCGCGGUAAUUC